CCUACGGGAGGCAGCAGUGGGGGAUAUUGCACAAUGGGGGGAACCCUGAUGCAGCGACGCCGCGUGGGUGAAGGAGUGCUUCGGCAUGUAAAGCCCUAUCGGCAGGGAAGAAGCACGACGGUACCUGACUCAGAAGCCCCGGCUCACUACGUGCCAGCAGCCGCGGUAAUACGUAGGGGGCGAGCGUUAUCCGGAUUUACUGGGUGUAAAGGGCGUGCAGCCGGGAAGACAAGUCAGAUGUGAAAUCCCGCGGCUAAACCGCGGAACUGCAUUUGAAACUGUUGUUCUUGAGUACCGGAGAGGUCAUCGGAAUGCCUUGUGUAGCGGUGAAAUGCGUAGAUAUAAGGAAGAACACCAGUGGCGAAGGCGGAUGACUGGACGGCAACUGACGGUGAGGCGCGAAAGCGUGGGGAGCAAACAGGAUUAGAUACCCGAGUAGUC
rnacentral:rRNA from 1 species